AAAAAAAAAAAAGAAAAGAAAAGUUCUACGUGUUUAUGUUGCUGGUGUUGUGCGUGAAAUAAUUACUGUACCUAUAAGAAGUGUGUACAUUCGUCUCUAUAUGUAUGGAGAGGAGGGGGAUUUAACUCUCUAUUCCUUUGGGAAAAUAAUGAAAAACCCAUUUGUAUUAUUAUCUUUAUUGCAUAUUUUUUGGUACCUUGCUUGACCCUUUUCUCAUCGAUACUUGCUGUUUUG
rnacentral:misc_RNA from 1 species